AUUGAACGCUGGCGGCAGGCCUAACACAUGCUAGUCGAACGAGUGGCGGACGGGUGAGUAAUGUCUGGGAAACUGCCUGAUGGAGGGGGAUAACUACUGGAAACGGUAGCUAAUACCGCAUACCAUCGGAUGUGCCCAGAUGGGAUUAGCUAGUAGGUGGGGUAAAGGCUCACCUAGGCGACGAUCCCUAGCUGGUCUGAGAGGAUGACCAGCCACACUGGAACUGAGACACAGUCCAUACUCCUACGUGAGGCAGCAGUGGUGAAUAUUGGACAAUGGGCGCAAGCCUGAUGCAGCCAUGCCGCGUGUAUGAAGAAGGCCGUGGGGUUGUAAAGUACUUUCAGCGGGGAGGCGUUACCCGCAGAUGAGGCACCGGAUAACUCCGUGCCAGCAGCCGCGGUAAUUC
rnacentral:rRNA from 1 species